UACAGAGGGUGCGAGCGUUGUCCGGAAUCACUGGGCGUAAAGGGCGCGUAGGUGGCGACCCAAGUCGAUGGUGAAAGCUCGCCGCUCAACGGCGAGUCGGCCACUGAUACUGGGUUGCUGGAGCACUGUAGAGGCAGAUGGAAUUCCUGGUGUAGCGGUGAAAUGCGCAGAUAUCAGGAGGAACACCGGUGGCGAAGGCGGUUCUCUGGGCAUGUCCUGACGCUGAGGAGCGAAAGUGUGGGGAGCGAACAGG
rnacentral:rRNA from 1 species